rnacentral:rRNA from 2 species
ACCCUUUAACGUUUGAUGUUCUAACCCGGGUCCAUAAUCUGGAUCGGGGACCGUGUCUGGUGGGUAGUUUGACUGGGGCGGUCUCCUCCCAAAGAGUAACGGAGGAGCACGAAGGUUGGCUAAGCAUGGUCGGACAUCAUGCGGUUAGUGCAAAGGCAUAAGCCAGCUUGACUGCGAGAGUGACGGCUCGAGCAGGUACGAAAGUAGGUCUUAGUGAUCCGGUGGUUCUGAAUGGAAGGGCCAUCGCUCAACGGAUAAAAGGUACUCCGGGGAUAACAGGCUGAUACCGCCCAAGAGUUCAUAUCGACGGCGGUGUUUGGCACCUCGAUGUCGGCUCAUCACAUCCUGGGGCUGAAGUAGGUCCCAAGGGUAUGGCUGUUCGCCAUUUAAAGUGGUACGCGAGCUGGGUUUAGAACGUCGUGAGACAGUUCGGUCCCUAUCUGCCGUGGGCGCUGGAAGAUUGAGAGGGGUUGCUCCUAGUACGAGAGGACCGGAGUGAACGCACCACUGGUGUACGGGUUGUGAUGCCAAUUGCAUUGCCCGGUAGCUAAGUGCGGAAGAGAUAACCGCUGAAAGCAUCUAAGCGGGAAACUUGC